UCUGAUUAGCUAGUUGGUAGGGUAAAAGCCUACCAAGGCAUCGAUCAGUAACUGGUCUGAGAGGAUGACCAGUCACACUGGGACUGAGACACGGCCCAGACUCCUACGGGAGGCAGCAGUGGGGAAUUUUCCGCAAUGGGCGAAAGCCUGACAGAGCAAUACCGCGUGAGGGAGGAAGGCUCUUGGGUUGUAAACCUCUUUUCUCAGGGAAGAAGAUCUGACGGUACCUGAGGAAUCAGCAUCGGCUAACUCCGUGCCAGCAGCCGCGGUAAUACGGAGGAUGCAAGCGUUAUCCGGAAUGAUUGGGCGUAAAGCGUCCGCAGGUGGCUGCUUCAAGUCUGCUGUCAAAGCUCAGGGCUUAACCCUGAAUCGGCGGUGGAAACUGAACAGCUAGAGUGCGGUAGGGGCAGAGGGAAUUCCCAGUAUAGCGGUGAAAUGCGUAGAGAUUGGGAAGAACACCGGUGGCGAAAGCGCUCUGCUGGACCGCAACUGACNCUCAUGGACGAAAGCUAGGGGAGCGAAUGGGAUUAGAUACCCCAGUAGUCCUAGCCGU
rnacentral:rRNA from 1 species